UCCGUAGGUGAACCUGCGGAAGGAUCAUUAGUGAAUACAAACGCUUGGGUGUCUCUGCUUCGGCAAGCCCCUCGCACCCUUCACAUCCAUAACACCUGUGCACUGUAAGAUGACUCUCUGGGCCUCGGUCCUUGGGUCGUCUGACCUUUUUACAAACAAUUAUAUGUAACAAAUGUAGUCUUAUUAUAACAAAAUAAAACUUUCAACAACGGAUCUCUUGGCUCACACAUCGAUGAAGAACGCAGCGAAACGCGAUAGGUAAUGUGAAUUGCAGAAUUCAGUGAAUCAUCGAAUCUUUGAACGCAUCUUGCGCUUGCUGGUAUUCCGGCAAGCAUGCCUGUUUGAGUGUCAUGAAAAUUAUCAACCAUGACUUGGGUUUAGGCCCUCGUUCACGGCUUGGAUUUGGGUGCUUGCGGCCUCGCGCUGCUCACCUCAAAAGGAUUAGCUGGACAUGUCGCUUGACUUGGUUCUACUUGGCGUAAUAAGUAUUUCGCUGAGGACAUCCCUGC
rnacentral:rRNA from 1 species